rnacentral:lncRNA from 1 species
AAGGAGGACCUUAUUAGAAAACUUAUAAUCAUGUCAAGGAUGAGUACUUUAAGGACGAGAUGGCAAGGAUGAGAACUUUAAGGCCGAGAUAGCAAUGAGAAGAAGGUCGAGAUGUCAAGGAUGAGAACUUUAGGAUCGAGAUGGUAAGGAUGAUAACUCAAGGUCAAGAUGUCAAGGAUGAGAACUUUAAGGAUGAGAUGGCAAGGAUGAUAACUUAAGGCCAAGAUGACAAUGUUGAGAACUUCAAGGCUGAGAUAGCAAAGAUGAGAACUCAAGGCUGAUAUGGCAAGGAUGAGAACUCAAGGUCGAGAUGGCAAGGAUGAGAACUCAAGGCCGAGAUGAAAAGAAUGAGAACUUCAAGACUAAGGUGGCAAGGAUGGGAACUUUAAGGCCCAGAUGGAAAUGAUGAGAACUCAAUGUCGAGAUGGCAAGGAUGAGAGUUUCAAGACCAAGAUGGAAAAGAGGAGAACUUCAAGGCUAAGAUGAUGAGGAUGAGAACUCAAGGAUGAGAUGGCAAGGAUGAGAACCCAAACUGAUAUGGCAAGGAUGAGAACUCAAGGCCGAGAUGGAAAGAAUGGGAUAUCAAGGAUGUGAACUUCAAGGUCAAGGUGGAAUGGAUUUGAACUUCAAGACUGAGGUGGCAAGGAUGAGAACCCAAGGCUGAUAGGUUGAGGAUAAUAUUUCAAGACUGAGAAGUCGAGACUAGGAGGUUGAGGUCGGGAGGUUGAGGCCAAUAGGUAAAGGCUAGGAGGUAGAGGUCGGGAUGUUAAGAAUAAGAAAUUGAGGUCAAGAAGGCAAGGACGAGAACCCAAGGUUGAGAGAUUGAGGAUGAUAUGUCAAGACUGAGAAAUUGUGGUUGAGAGGUUGAGGCCAAUAGGGCGAGGCUGAGAUGUCGGGGCCAAUAUAUCAAAGUCGAUUGGUAAAGACCAUGAGGAUGUUAAGAUUAAAAAAUCGAGGCUGAGAAGCCAAGAACAAGCACCCAAGGCCUAGAUGUGAACAAAGUUCUUUUGCAUUGCCAUUAUUGACCAUCUCACUAGAAAGAUUUCCAACUUUUCUUGUACUUGCCAUCUUACUUAUCGUAGACACCAUAUACCUUUUUCUUCCUUGAAUAUAUCUCGUCCCACAUUAGGCGCCAAUGUUCUUACAAGACUAAAAUCACCAUGUGAAGACCUUCAAACUCCUUCCAGCAAAAACUCCCUACUCUUCAAACUGAAAUAUUUCAAGACUUGGAUGUAGCCUCAAACCAAAAGAGGGUGUGCUUUCAACUUCACGCCUUCAAGCUGAGAUGUUCUAGGUCCACAUCUCUUGAAGACCAAGAAAGGGUGUGCUUGUAGAAGAUACUUUGACACUCAUGUUAGUUAAAUGCGUUAAAUAAUAGUAAAUGUUGUAAUAAUGGGUUUAUAAGUUAUUACUAUGUGAAAAAUGCUAUUUAUACUAGACUUAUGUACUUUUACCUGGUUGGGUUUGGACUUAUAAAUAAUUACCUUAAUUAACCUUGAUUAGCAACUUGUGUAAUUCUCCUUAACCCUAAGUCAAAUUUCAAGUUAACCAGGACUUAUAAAUAAUUACCUUAAUUAACCUUGAUUAGCAACUUGUGUAAUCCUCCUUAACCCUAAGUCAAAUUUCAAGUUAACCAAAAUGAUCUUA